CAUGAGGUUUAUCCCAACAGACCUUUGACCUGUAGGUCUUUGUUGUUGGAAACGCCUCAGAGAGUAAACCUGCAGUUUGCUUUACCCACAGACUGACUGCUGUGGGUUUUGUGGGAUAUAACUGCAGUACAAAC